UCGUAGCCAAAUAUAUACAUAACAAAACCUUUCCCAUUUUAACCAUUUUUAAUUAUACAAUUUGGUGGCAUUAAAUACACUCACAGUGUUUGGCAACCAUCAUCACAUCCAUCUCCAGAACUUUAUUAUCAUCCUGAACAUAGUACCUAUGAAACCUGUGAUGGUUAAUGUUGAGUGUCAACUUGAUUGGAUUGAAGGAUACAAACUAUUGAUCCUGGUUGUAUCUGUGAGUGUGUUGCCAAAGGAGAUUAACGUUUGAGUCAGUGGGCUGGGAAGGGAAGACCCACCCUUUAUCUGCGUGGGCACCAUCUAAUCAGCUGCCAGUGCAGCUAGAAUAUAAAGCCGGAAGAAAAAUGUGAAAAGAGAGAGACUGGACUAGCCUCCCAGCCUACAUCUUUCUCCUGUGCUGGAUGCUUCCUGCCCUCGAACAUUGGACAGGUUCUUCAGUUUUGAAAGUAGACUGGCUCUCCUUGCUCCUCCGCCUACAGAUGGCCUAGUUUGGGACCUUGUGAUUGCGAGGAAGAAACAUUAAUGACAGUCAUUACAUUCCCCCAGACUUUCACAUGGAAGAUGCCUGAAGCACUCAGACAGAAUUUUCUUGUUUACUAAGAGGAAGGCUGCAACCCCCAGAGUGACCUGUGUACAUACCUGUCUUCACAGCUGGAAAGAACUUAAUGCAUCUAUGUAAACUGAUUAAGAAUUACAAAUCACAACGAUGAAACCAUCAAUGAGAUUCCUUUAAUAAGUUCCACAUAUAUUUUCGAGGCC
rnacentral:lncRNA from 1 species